rnacentral:rRNA from 1 species
UUCGGGGAACGAUAACGGCGUCGAGCGGCGGACGGGUGAGUAAUGCCUAGGAAAUUGCCCUGAUGUGGGGGAUAACCAUUGGAAACGAUGGCUAAUACCGCAUGAUGCCUACGGGCCAAAGAGGGGGACCUUCGGGCCUCUCGCGUCAGGAUAUGCCUAGGUGGGAUUAGCUAGUUGGUGAGGUAAGGGCUCACCAAGGCGACGAUCCCUAGCUGGUCUGAGAGGAUGAUCAGCCACACUGGAACUGAGACACGGUCCAGACUCCUACGGGAGGCAGCAGUGGGGAAUAUUGCACAAUGGGCGCAAGCCUGAUGCAGCCAUGCCGCGUGUGUGAAGAAGGCCUUCGGGUUGUAAAGCACUUUCAGUCGUGAGGAAGGUAGUGUAGUUAAUAGCUGCAUUAUUUGACGUUAGCGACAGAAGAAGCACCGGCUAACUCCGUGCCAGCAGCCGCGGUAAUACGGAGGGUGCGAGCGUUAAUCGGAAUUACUGGGCGUAAAGCGCAUGCAGGUGGUUUGUUAAGUCAGAUGUGAAAGCCCGGGGCUCAACCUCGGAAUAGCAUUUGAAACUGGCAGACUAGAGUACUGUAGAGGGGGGUAGAAUUUCAGGUGUAGCGGUGAAAUGCGUAGAGAUCUGAAGGAAUACCGGUGGC